CUCUACGCAGCUCAGCCAGCUCACUAGUGUGCCUGCUUUUCACUUCACAGUAAAAGGGAGUCCCAGGUUGAAAGUGGCCUUCCAAGAAAAUGGUCUUUGUGAUCUGCUUAGGAAAGAGUGGUCAAAAAUUAACUAUUCUAUGACCAAGGGCACCAUUUCUGGCAGCCACCUUCCAACUUUGUCCAGGUUUAUACCCAGACUGGCACUUGAGAACACGGAGAUAAUUUAUAACUUAUCCCUAGAUGAAACCCAAUCACUAGUGACUUCGCACCUGAGAUGCAUCAUUGUGAGUACCUGCAGAAGGAUUUCUACCAAAUCACACACUUCGAUGGGACCUUGAUUAAUGAAGAGUGUUACAGAAAUGUCCUUUGAAGCUUGUCACUUCAUUUAGUCCAAAGCUGUCACAAAGACAUUAUUUUUUGCAUUACCUGGCCUUCUCUCUUAGAAGACCUACUGGAGAAAUCCCACUCUGGUCUCAGUAGCAGAAGAAUUUGGACUUGUCUAAGCAGUGGAUUUGUAUUUUAUCUUCUUUAUGAUGGGAAUAAUUUUACCCUUCCUCUUCAUAAAUCUCCUUGAAAUUUUUAACUCAGCUCAUCUCUAACAUGCACAUAAAAUUUCAAGAAAUGUGAUUUGUGUAUUCACCAUGCUCCUGGCUCCAUCCUGUGCUUCUACCGUUUUCCCUUUGCCUUAUUUUAUUUAUUUAUUUUUUUACCUGUUUGACCUUGUUGUACUACAUACUCCUUUGUAAGCUAUCUUAAAUCCUUUCCAGUGCCAGCAGGGAUGUACUUAAGUACAUAAAUUAGUCAAUGGAGGACCACCUGUGACCUAGAUAUAGCUUCACGAGGACCCCUCGCUGCCCAGGGGACCCACUCACAUAUCUAGGACUCAUCUGCACAGAUUUCCCGGUGCUGACUGGAGAGAAAAUCGGCAUCAUGUAUCCCAUUAAUAUGCUAGCUGCUGGUACGGUCUGAGUGUUGUCCUGGUCUGUACUUUAACAGGAGCCACCAACGCCUCACUUUAUACGAAUAAGGUGAGAAUUUCAAGUGCCAUAGCAAAGCCAGGAGAACGGUAUGUAGGGGAGAAGGGCCACUAAAUUAGGGUUUGUCCAACUGCAGAUCCCAAUCUAUUAGAGGAUUGUAAAAUUAGGGUUAUAACUAACAUUUUUUUCUUGAAAAAUUUCAAGGUUUUAUGGAAGUGUAGUCUUGUGGAAAAUAAGUAUAACAUAAACAACAGAGUGCAUUGCAUGGAGUGAGGGUAAGGAUUUAUUCAUAAAACUUUGGUGUGUGUGUCUGCUGGGUCACAAUAAAAACAUAUUUCUUAGUAUGGAUUAUGAAAACUUCCUUAAAUAAUAUCACAUAAGGGUGUGCCUAUUCUAUCUAUACAUAAAACAGGCCUUGGGCCUUGAUAUGGUUUGGCUCUGUGUCCCCAUCCAAAUCUCACCUUGAAUUGUAACAAUCCCCACAUGUCAAGGGCAGGACUGGGUAGAGGUAAUUGGAUCAUGGGGGCAGUUUCUGCCAUGCCGUUCUUGUGAUAGUGAGUGAGUCUCAAGAGAUCUGAUGGUUUUAUAAGCAUGUGGCAUUUCCCCUGCUUGCACUCAUUCUCUUUCCUGCUGCCCUGUGAAGAGGUAUCUUCUGCCAUGAUUGGAAGUUUCUUGAGGACUCCCCAGCCAUGCAAACUGUGAGUCAAUUAAAUCUCUUUUCUUUA
rnacentral:lncRNA from 10 species